CGCGGAAUCAACCAGCCUACUUCAUAUCAACGUAUGACUAUGAAUUCAUAGCCAUGCCAGUUCUAUGAAGUAAACUGAUUUUCUUUGCGAACGAGGUUAUGAAGAAGUAUUGCAGCCAAUUCUUCCGUCCUCGAGUUGUAGAAAUUUGACGAUUGUUAAAUCUCACUCAUUCAUUACACGAACUUCAGCUUAAUAACUUCUAAAGAGAGGUGAGUAACAAAAUCAUUCUAGACGCGUUCGUUUAUUAAUUAAUUUUUAGAAACCCCUGUCUAAGGGAGCCUUUUUACGAUUAAUAAACGAAUUUUUCUUAUACAGGGUGUUUCGGAAUGGUAAGCGAAUAUUUAAAGUAUAAUUUUGCAUAAAAAAUUAAUAUUUUGCUUAAUAAUCGUAAAAAAUAGUACAAUAAAAUUGUUCUAAAAAAAUUGUUCUUGAAUUAUCCGUUCUAUUUGUCUUGAUUUUUUCUAUCUGUUUUGAGUUUCAAGAAUUUACACCACAUUCUUAAAUUUUCGCAUAUCCUAAAGGAUACCCUGUGCAACUAUAGCUUUAAGUAACUUGCGAAGGUUGAUGUAAUGAUGUCUUCGAUUGUUCUCAGUGCCAGAAGACUUGCCGUAACAACUCCUGAAGCAGCUCAGAUUGGAUCCAAGUCGACUCCCGGGACGAUUGUCACGGACACGGCUCAAGUAAAUGAGUUAUUGGUAAUGGAGUUAAAGAGGGCUGCUAUCGCUUGAUCCUAAGAAUUCCCGUUUGCCAGUAUUCCGUGAACUGAACGAGUGCAGUGACUCAAUGGCGCUUCGUAAACAACACCGAAUGAAUAAGACUAACGAUUCCAGAAGGGCAGCUUAUAAAGGU